GAUGGACGCUGGCGGCGUGCCUAAUACAUGCAAGUCGAGCGAACGGACGAGAAGCUUGCUUCUCUGAUGUUAGCGGCGGACGGGUGAGUAACACGUGGAUAACCUACCUAUAAGACUGGGAUAACUUCGGGAAACCGGAGCUAAUACCGGAUGAUAUUUUGAACCGCAUGGUUCAAAAGUGAAAGACGGUCUUGCUGUCACUUAUAGGUGGAUCCGCGCUGCAUUAGCUAGUUGGUAAGGUAACGGCUUACCAAGGCAACGAUGCAUAGCCGACCUGAGAGGGUGAUCGGCCACACUGGAACUGAGACACGGUCCAGACUCCUACGGGAGGCAGCAGUAGGGAAUCUUCCGCAAUGGGCGAAAGCCUGACGGAGCAACGCCGCGUGAGUGAUGAAGGUCUUCGGAUCGUAAAACUCUGUUAUUAGGGAAGAACAUAUGUGUAAGUAACUGUGCACAUCUUGACGGUACCUAAUCAGAAAGCCACGGCUAACUACGUG
rnacentral:rRNA from 1 species